UGCACCCACGACUGCAAGUCGCUUUGGAUAAAAGUGUCUGCUAAAUGGUAUAUA
rfam:Salmo salar isolate Sally breed double haploid chromosome ssa17, whole genome shotgun sequence.